rnacentral:rRNA from 1 species
AUUGAACGCUGGCGGCAUGCCUUACACAUGCAAGUCGAACGGUAACAGGUCUUCGGACGCUGACGAGUGGCGAACGGGUGAGUAAUACAUCGGAACGUGCCCAGUCGUGGGGGAUAACUACUCGAAAGAGUAGCUAAUACCGCAUACGAUCUGAGGAUGAAAGCGGGGGACCUUCGGGCCUCGCGCGAUUGGAGCGGCCGAUGGCAGAUUAGGUAGUUGGUGGGAUAAAAGCUUACCAAGCCGACGAUCUGUAGCUGGUCUGAGAGGACGACCAGCCACACUGGGACUGGAACACGGCCCAGACUCCUACGGGAGGCAGCAGUGGGAAAUUUUGGACAAUGGGCGCAAGCCUGAUCCAGCAAUGCCGCGUGCAGGAAGAAGGCCUUCGGGUUGUAAACUGCUUUUGUACGGAACGAAAAGGCUCUGGAUAAUACCUGGGGCUCAUGACGGUACCGUAAGAAUAAGCACCGGCUAACUACGUGCCAGCAGCCGCCGUAACAC